UCUGAGCGCAGGGCCCCGCCUACCGGCCCGACGCCCCCAGGUCCUAGAGAGCAACCCGGAGCACGCUGCGGGGUGGUGGUGGUGGGAGGUGCUAACCCCACAGCCAAGUCUGUGCAAUGGGGCUGUGUACUUAAGGCGUCCGCACGGUGGCCUAGCGUCCAGGGAGCAGUCAGCAGCCCUGGAAAGGGACAGAAACUAGGGAUCGUACGACGCGCCCUUGGGGAAACACAUGCCAGGUGGAGAGGCUCAAAGGCAGGACUAAGGAGCAAGAAGCUGGCCAAGUCAGUCCCCUAGGCCAUCAGGGCCUCGCGAGUUCCGCUGCGUGUGGCCGAGAGUCUGGAAACGGCGGGGUCUCUGGGUGGGUGGCGCCCCAGUGAUUGCCUCCACCAGUGCCCAGGCCUCCGGGUAUCCAGUCUCCAACUGCACCUUAGAACGGGACAGGGGGUGGGGCCAGUUGGCCCACUCAGGUCUCCAGGCUGCAGAGGACUGUUGGUCCUUCUGCCCAAGCCACACUCGUGCGGCUCAACAGAAAGAAGGCAGCAGGGAUGGGCUCGGAGCCGAGCCUGCCACCCACUCUGCCUGCUCACAGAGCACCCACGAUGAGGUUCUGUUCCGCCACAAGGCGAGCGGGUGACUUAUCACAGAGUUGGCCACCUGGGAGGCCCCUUUGUUCAGCAGAGCAGCCACCGGAGGGGCUUUUUGAGGACACUGACUUGAGCCCCUUCCCCAGAAGCAGCCCCUUGAAGGUCAGCACACAGAGACAGCGUUGUUUACUCACAGCACCGACCUCUUCCAGACAGGACUCUUCUGAGAGGUCCCUCUAGGCUUAAUCCAAGAAUAGAGGGAAACAGGGCCGAUAAGGAAGGUACAGCAGAUGGACUUGGUACCAUGCAGACCAGCGGCUCCCUAGAAUCUGAGUGUCUCCCCAUCUGAGCCAAGCAAGCCUCUGGGUGUUCAGGCUGAGCUGUAGGGAGUGGAUAUCAUACAUGCAGGGUGGACUAUAUGCCACGUGCAGGAAGCAGGUGGGUAUGUGAGCAGAGAGGGCCAGGGAGCAGGAAAGACGCCAGCACCCCAAGUUUUCUUGGGUUAUUUUAGCUGCCAUGCCUGCUCAUCAUCGUCAAGGGGCCAAUUUGUGGGUGUGGGCCGUGGCACCGUGGCUCAUCUUCUCCAGGGGAGCAAGCAGCCUGGAGGCAGCCAGCUGUUCCCCCAGGGUUCCAUGGGGUCUCAGAAGCCACUCCCUAGAAUGUGUGGAAAUGUUGUGUACUGCCUGGAAUCCCAGGGACAGUGUCCAGCAUCAGCUUAGGGUGGGCUUUCUGAGGACAGGGUGCAUUUCUGUAUUGUAUUGUGGUUUUUGGUUUGACUUUGAGACAGGGUCGCACUAUGAGGCCCUGGCUGUCCUGGAACUCACAAUGUAGACGAGGCUGGCCUCAAACUCAAGAGAUCUGCCUGCCUCUGCCUCCCAAGUGCUGGGAUUAAAUGCUGUGGUGCCACACCUGGCUGUCUUCUAGAGUCUCAUCUGCCGACUUGGGAGCUUUGCUGGCUCUGGACAGGUGCCUUUCUUCUAAGGCAGAGCACUCCCCAGAGUGGGCAGGUAACACUAUGUGCAGUGCCUAUCACUACCCCUUUCCCACAGUCUGGGCCACUAUCCACCUGUCCCAGUCACUCCAAGGCAGGAAUUAGGCACAGCCUGAGUCCAGCAGCCACAGAAGCCAUCCACACUGGAGGAUCCUCCGUCUCUCACUUGCCCGAUCUGUUCCUUCCUGGGGAUGGCUAUCUCUCUGCCAGCCUCACCCCGGUCGGUAUUCCUUGGUGUGACCCUGUGUGAUGUGGGAUGUCCCCUCUAUUGUCUGUGAACAAGAAACACCUUUCCUAUGGCAGGUGUCUGAGCUGGAGGUGUAACUCAGCGAUAGAACACUUGCUUAGCAUAUGCAAGCCCCAGGAUUGGUUCCCUGUAUCCCCCAACUAAACCAGUGGCAGGGGUCCUGUGAUCUGUUUUGGCCUUAAGUGGAUAAUAACAAAACAUUUUUAAAACGAAUAAUCAAACCAGAAUGUGGUCUCUGCAUGGUCAGCAUGCUUAGGCUUGGACUGUGGCAGUGGAGGACAUGGGAACAUUUUGCCCUGCCCACCUCAGGGUUGUCCCAUGGCUAGGUAAGCUUUCAGGAGGCACAAGCCAGGCAGAGGUGGCUGUUCUGAUCUCAGCUGAGCCUCUCUCUUUUGAUAUAUGACCUAUGCCCCCGAAUGUCUAUGAAUUCCUGGCCUAGCUUCCUCAGUCACCUGUCUUCAAGGACUUUCUUGUUCAAACCCACAUGGUCACCUACCCUGGCCUGCAGGGCAUGCCGCUCUAUAGGGCCAGUUUUGUCUAACUGAAAGUUGGGCCUGAGGUUGAAACUCUAUUGUGGACCUUCUGAUGAACAUGGUAAGUGCAUCCUGACCACAGCCAGGACCUACCAACCAAGAACCCUUCCCGGAUCCUGCCAGCUCUGUGGUCCCUGGUAACGCACUUAACAGCGCCUGGGGCCAGGCAGGCUGUAUGUGGUGGUUUGAAGAAUGGCCCCAGUACGCUCAUAUAUCUGAAUAUUUGGUUCCCAGAUGGUGGGUUGCUGAGGAAGGCUUUGGCAAUGUGGCCUUGUUGGAGAAGGUGUGUCCCUGGGGUGGGCUCUGAGGUUUCAGCAGACAGACCCACACUCUCUGCUUCCUGCCUGCAGAUCAGGAUGUAGCUCUGGGCUCCUGCGCCACGCUUGCGUGCUGCUGUGCUCCCCGCCAUGUCGUUCGCGGACUAACCCUCUGAGAUGAUAACCCUCUGAUUAAAUGCUUCCUUCUUCAAGUGACCAUUGUCAUGGUGUCUCUUCACAGACACCAAUAGAGCAGUGA